ensembl:snRNA U6atac minor spliceosomal RNA
GUGUGUGUGGAAGGAGAGAAGGUCCGUGCUCCCCUUGACAAGGAUGGAAGAGGCCCUCGGGCCUGACAGCAUGCACACGGGUGAGGCAUUGCCACCUACUUUGUGGCAUCUAACCGUCUUUUUUU